CACAUUCUGUAGAUCCAAUAUUUCAAGUACAUAUUAAAUAUUGUAUCUCAGAAUGAAAA
rnacentral:pre_miRNA from 1 species